UGGGUGGGGAUUGAUUGGUGGAUGGUAAUUGGUUGGUGGUGAUUGGUGGGUGGUGGUGUCGCUUCAUCGGCCUCCUGCUCGUUUCGUCGCUGCUGCUGCUGCAUCAGAUCGUCAGCCAACUCCACCCCACACCCCGUGGCGACUGCUCCGCACUGUCGAGGCCCUCCCUGCCUCACUCCUCCCUGCCUCACUCCUCCCUGCCUCACUCCUCCAUGCCUCACUCCUCCAUGCCUCACUCCUCCCUGCCUCACUCCUCCCUGCUUCACUCCUCCAAGGUACGAGCAGUUCGUGGUCCACAUCGAGUGGGCGAAGCGGCGAGUCGAUGCGCGCGUGUGUAGACUCCGGGACUGCGAGGUCCUCCUCCACAGUCGCUUCGGUCGAAGUGGCCGUGGGACUACAACCAGACUCCCCCAAGGUCUCGCUUGCCUAAGGCCCUGCGCGCUCAAGGAUCCGAGUCCCCGUCACCCGAAGCACCACCUCCUCCACGACACCGGCCUCCUCCUGACGGCUGAGCAGCCCCCGCUUGAAUCUGAGCAGCUGCUGCUGCUGGUGCCUGGGCGGCCCCCACCUCGCUCCUCCCCGCUGGCGCACCCGGCCGCAUUCUGGGAGGCCGCGGCUCUCGGCGACGA